rnacentral:rRNA from 1 species
CCUACGGGAGGCAGCAGUGGGGAAUCUUGCGCAAUGGCCUAACGGCUGACGCAGCGACGCCGCGUGAGGGAUGACGCUCUUCGGAGUGUAAACCUCUUUUGCCUGAGACGAAUUGUCAGCUUUAGCUGAUUUGACUGUAUCGGGUGAAUAAGCACCGGCUAACUCCGUGCCAGCAGCCGCGGUAAUACGGGGGGGGCAAACGUUGUCCGGAUUUACUGGGUGUAAAGGGUGCUCAGGCGGUUUUGUAAGUCAGAAGUGAAAUCCUAGAGCUUAACUCUGGAACUGCUUUUGAUACUGCAAGGCUUGAAUGUGGAAGAGGAGGAUGGAAUUUCUGGUGUAGCAGUGAAAUGCGUAGAUAUCAGAAAGAACACCAGUGGCGAAGGCGGUCCUCUGGUCCACUAUUGACGCUAAAGCACGAAAGCGUGGGGAGCAAACAGGAUUAGAUACCCUGGUAGUCCACGCCUUAAACGAUGAAUACUAGACGUUGGGGUUAAACUCAGUGUCGCAGCUAACGCAUUAAGUAUUCCACCUGGGGAGUACGAUCGCAAGGUUGAAACUCAAAGGAAUUGACGG